UACGGAGGGUGCAAGCGUUAUCCGGAUUCACUGGGUUUAAAGGGUGCGUAGGCGGGUAUAUAAGUCAGUGGUGAAAGCUCCGGGCUUAACUUGGAAACUGCCAUUGAUACUGUAUACUCUUGAAUGUCGUAGAGGUUAGCGGAAUGUUGCAUGUAGCGGUGAAAUGCUUAGAUAUGUUACAGAACACCAAUUGCGAAGGCAGCUAACUAUGCGAUGAUUGACGCUGAGGCACGAAAGCGUGGGGAGCAACAGG
rnacentral:rRNA from 1 species